rnacentral:rRNA from 1 species
GACGAAGGGGGCUAGCGUUGUUCGGAAUUACUGGGCGUAAAGCGAGUGUAGGUGGUUGUCCAAGUUGGAUGUGAAAGCCUUGAGCUCAACUCAAGAAAUGCAUUCAGGACUGGGCGGCUAGAGGACCGGAGAGGAUAGUGGAAUUCCCAGUGUAGUGGUGAAAUACGUAGAGAUUGGGAAGAACACCAGUGGCGAAGGCGGCUAUCUGGACGGUUUCUGACACUAAGACUCGAAAGCGUGGGGAGCGAACCGG